rnacentral:rRNA from 1 species
UACAGAGGUCUCGAGCGUUGUUCGGAAUCACUGGGCGUAAAGGGUGCGUAGGCCGCGCGGUAAGUCAGAUGUGAAAUCUCAGGGCUCAACUCUGAAAUUGCAUCCGAUACUGCCGUGCUUGAGGACUGGAGAGGAGUCUGGAAUUCACGGUGUAGCAGUGAAAUGCGUAGAUAUCGUGAGGAACACCAGAGGCGAAGGCGGCUACCUGGACAAUUGCUGACGCUCAGGCACGAAAGCGUGGGGAGCAAAAGGG